UACGGGGGGAGCAAGCGUUGUUCGGAUUUACUGGGCGUAAAGGGCGCGUAGGCGGCCUCCGCAAGUCAGUUGUGAAAUCUCCGAGCUUAACUCGGAAAGGUCAACUGAUACUGCGGGGCUAGAGUGCGGAAGGGGCAACUGGAAUUCUUGGUGUAGCGGUGAAAUGCGUAGAUAUCGUCAAGAACACCUAUAGCGAAGGCAGCUUACUAGGCUGUAACUGACGCUGAGGCACGAAAGCGUGGGGAGCAAACAGG
rnacentral:rRNA from 1 species